AUUGAACGCUGGCGGCAGGCCUAACACAUGCAAGUCGAGCGGAUGAAGGGAGCUUGCUCCUGGAUUCAGCGGCGGACGGGUGAGUAAUGCCUAGGAAUCUGCCUGGUAGUGGGGGAUGACGUCCGGAAACGGGCGCUAAUACCGCAUACGUCCUGAGGGAGAAAGUGGGGGAUCUUCGGACCUCACGCUAUCAGAUGAGCCUAGGCCGGAUUAGCUAGUUGGUGGGGUAAAGGCCUACCAAGGCGGCGAUCCGUAACUGGUCUGAGAGGAUGAUCAGUCACACUGGAAGGGAGACACGGUCCAGACUCCUACGGGAGGCAGCAGUGGGGAAUAUUGGACAAUGGGCGAAAGCCUGAUCCAGCCAUGCCGCGUGUGUGAAGAAGGUCUUCGGAUUGUAAAGCACUUUAAGUUGGGAGGAAGGGCAGUAAGUUAAUACCUUGCUGUUUUGACGUUACCAACAGAAUAAGCACCGGCUAACUUCGUG
rnacentral:rRNA from 1 species